AUUCUAGGUGCUUCAGUGAUAGCCCAGGGUACGUUCAAGGUAACAACAAAAUGUCUCUCGUCGGAAAGCUCGUCAGCUCCGUCAUGGCCAAACUUCCAGUCGGCCCAAAACAUUUACAGAUGGUGCAGGCUUGGGUACCAUCAGCAUGCGUAUUUGGAGCAGGGGCUGGAGCAGCAGGUUUGUACUUCCUCGACUGGAAAUUAAUAAAUCAGUUUAUUCCUUUCUAUGGUGGGAAGUUUGCAGAAGAAGAAGAAGAAUAAAAAUGUCUGCUUGUUUUGUCUCGUUUGUAUUUAGGUCAUCACUCACAUUUUAGGAUGGACUUUUUAAGUUAUUACGUCAGUCUGAGGAAGGUUCUCAUGUAUAAAUUGUACAAACUUCAUAUUCCAUUAAAGUAAAUUUAAAACUA